rnacentral:rRNA from 1 species
AUACGUAGGGGGCGAGCGUUAUCCGGAAUUACUGGGCGUAAAGCGUGCGUAGGUGGUUGUUUAAGUCUGUCGUGAAAGCCCUGGGCUCAACCUGGGAAUGGCGAUGGAAACUGGGCGACUAGAGUGUGGCAGAGGGUAGUGGAAUUCCUGGUGUAGCAGUGAAAUGCGUAGAGAUCAGGAGGAACAUCCGUGGCGAAGGCGACUGCCUGGGCCAACACUGACACUGAGGCACGAAAGCGUGGGGAGCAAACAGGAUUAGAUACCCUGGUAGUCCACGCCCUAAACGAUGCGAACUGGAUGUUGGGUGCAAUUUGGCACGCAGUAUCGAAGCUAACGCGUUAAGUUCGCCGCCUGGGGAGUACGGUCGCAAGACUGAAACUCAAAUGAAUUGACGGGG